rnacentral:lncRNA from 1 species
GUGCACAGCAAUUCACAACUCAUAGAUGGCAAGAAGCACUCCCACAGGAAAACUUGUGAAAUAAGGACAGCAGCGCACACCUUUGGGAAGGCCUCUGGGCACCACACAGCACGCAGCACCACGUAAGGAGGCCCAGGUGGCUGGGGACACAGCAAGUGCAGCUCCUCAGGAAGCACCCUUGCUGUUGCUAUGUGAUUCCACUUGGGCCAAGAAGCCCAACGGGCGCCGGGGUGCCACUCAUCCUCACCCUGUGUACCCCCGAUCUGGUGGGGGAGCCAGAAGUGGACUGCAGAGCACCCCACACCCCACUCUGCUCUGUCGCGAUCGGUUCCGACAGUGCACCCGCAACAGCCGGCCUGUGCUUCGCGCCCACCAUGGUCCAGACAUGACAGAAGGUCGACAGAAAGCACCCUGCAAACUCCGGGUGUGAGCCCCACCACAGGGCUGGCAGUACACGGCCCUGCCCUGUGUCACAAAUGGGGCAGUGGCAUCACAAAGGCAAACCACCGACAAGGGAUAGGCUGCCAUGCUGCUGAUCCAGGACACUGCCCAGGGACCCGCUGCAGGGCAGGGCUGUGAGCCUUCCUCGGCGCUCAGUCAGUGUCUGAGUGAAGGAGCCAGCCGGGACGGCGAUGCUAAAGGACACCAGCGGAGCCCAGGGCAGCGGUCCCCUGCACAAUUAAGGAAACUCACAAAGGAGCCAGACCACGCGGACCACUUAGCAUUCUUAGGAGGAGGAGCAUUUCUUGAAAAUAAACUGCAAUCGCUUUUCAUUGAUACAUCAUUUGCACUAUUUUGCCAUCCACCUCCCACUAGCUGGGUUCAGAGAGCUUUUACUGUUUUUAUUUCCAACCCGUACAUCUAAAACAGUAUCAAGUAACCCUUAAGUACACAAUUACCAACUCACAAGCACUUGCAGUUCCCCUGACAAAUCAUUAUGGCUUGGCUCUGACCCUGCACCUGGGUACUGCACUCACAGCCUCACACAGCACCCCGCCCAACAAGGCCACUUCCCCAUGCGGGAAGAACACGCUGGAGAAGGAGGGAGCCAAAGCAAUCUACACCACGUCCCGUCAUCCAACGUGACCAGCACAGGUCCUCUGCUGCCAUUUUAUCCUCUCCCCAGUAAACGCUCUUAACUCUGGGGCACGGUGGCGCAUGCCUGUCACCCCACAAUUGGGAGGCUGAGUCAGGAGGACUGCCUUGAGUUUGAGGCCAGCCUGAGCUACACAGUGAGAACCAAGCCAGCCUGGAUGACACAGCAAGACCCUAGACCCUGUCUCAGAAACAAAAAGCCUCACAGCAGACCAGCCAGGCAGCAUCCGCCUGAGGAGGUCCCGAGAAGUCUUGUGGCUGGUGCGAGACAGUGAGUGUCCUGGGGCGGCCCUGAGGGGAGGCCAGGCCAGCACAGGCUGCUACACACCUCCAUUCUCCCAGCACAUCUGCACUCGCCAACACGACUGCUGUCGCUAAAACUUUUCAACCAGGUCUGUACCCAAAUAUUUACCACCCUGGCUCCCAUCCAGUCCUGGGAAGGCGACGUUAGGCCCAACAGAGUCCAAGACGAGUCCCUGCAGCAAUGUUCACCUCCUCCCACCCUCCCAUAGGAGCAAAGUCCACGUGUCCUGCACAGACUGGGACAGGCAGACAUAGCAACUACAUGGCCUCCGUGUCAAGAAGUGGAAUAUACUCAGGCAGACCAGAAAGGGAGAAACCAAGGCAGGGCAACUGUUGGGUAUGGCUGGAGUCAUGCUGCUCCCAAGAUUAGUGUGGGCCAAAGAUUCCAUUCCCUGAGUGCAGCACGGCGGUACGCACCUGUAAUCCCAGUAUUCAGGAAGUUGAGGCAGGAGGAUUCCAUGAUUUUGAGGACAGCCUGAAUUACAUGGUGAGACCCUGUGUCUCAACGCCCCCCUCAAGAAAAUUACGUUUUCUUUUUUACUGGGUGGGGGUACCUGGGAUGGACCCCAGGGCCUCAACAUGCCAGGCACACGCACUACCACUGAAGUGCGCCCCAGCCCACUUUCAGUUCCCUAACGUGGAGGCCAGCACCUUAUCGCCUGCCAACUAUUUGGUUUCUCUGGAGCACAGCCACACCCAGAACACGCUGUCUGUGGCUUCUCUGUCACGAUGCCAGAGCUGAGCGAUGAGGACAGACAAGGUAAGGCCUGACAGCAGGACCACCACCCUCCUUCCAUGGUCAGGAGGAGACCUCGCCCUGCUGGAUAUACUUGACAUAAACAGCUGCCGGGGAAGGGACAGGAGACCCUGGCAAGGGACAGCACAGUGCACUGACAGAAGUCCAGGCACAGCCUCCCAGCCUCCCGGCGGGUCCCCAAGGACGUGAGCAGUGCCUGCUCUCCCUGGGGCAGAGCCUCAUUAACCCCACAUCCCCAAGGAGCAGGAGAGCUGACUCUGCCGCACACCAGACCCAGGGGGCCAAGG